rnacentral:lncRNA from 1 species
UGCGAAGAAGAAUAUAGAAGAAAAGGAAUGAUGAAUGACGGCCACAGCCCGCCGCCCCGCCACCGCCACCGCCAGCCUUCAAAGUGUCAGUGUUGGUAACGACGUGUACAGUCAGGCGGUGCGCCGGGUGCGGUGCCGGUGGUUUGUGUGCCGACCGGCUGGUGAAGUGGUGUUCUCUGCCUGAGUGUACAACAUGACAUGGUGCAGUGUAGGGCGCCUGAGCUGGCCAGGGGAGCAGCGGCGGUGGAGGACACUGACUCGCAGCAAGCACACCAGGCCAGGCAUCAGCUGAGGACAUCUACCAUGAGGCAGUGGCUACAAGAAACAGGAAUUACUUAAACACAACCAGAUCAAGAGGUUGUGUAGACAGCGCAGAACCACCAAAAUGCCUUGAGAGUCUGAAAAGUUACCAAACACCAGCUGGAUAUGAUGGUGUGAAUUGGAGAGGGCUUGAUUCAGGAGUGAGGGAGAGUAGCGAUGAUGGCCAGCCUUAUUGAUGCAGGAGGAGAGGAGGGAGCGAGAUGUGUGCCUCCUGUGUUCACCGAGGACUUUGAUCGGAGCUGAAGCUUCUCAUGUCCCUGUGCUGGAGACGAGACUGCUGUGAAGGUGUUAGCCGUGGUUUGGACCUUCAUCUCCGCUCUGGAGCUUCUCAUGUCCCUGUGCUGGAGACGAGACUGCUGUGAAGGUGUUAGCUGUGGCUUGGACCUUCAUCCCUAUUGAAAUAAACGAGGUGGUGGAAGAGCAAUAUAUCUGCAGAAGGCACAGCCAGCUCUGUAGUGUCCCUGCAGCAGAUGGAGCAUCUCACUGUGUGGAUCCAAGACAAUGCAGGAGCAGAAAAAUAGCAAUGAUAUCCAAGAAGAUAUAAGAAGAGAAGAAAGUUUCCUAGGAAAAAGUAGAGAACCAGAAGAUAGCAUGGGUAGAACACAGACCGUCACAUGGAGAUACACAUCAAGUGGUUAAGGCCAGAGCUGCCCUCCUUGUCAGAGGCAUGAUGCUAAAGGUGACACCACUGCCUCACUAAAACACAACUGUCCACUACAGCUGCAGCAGCAUAGCAGCUCCUUUUGCCACACCAUGCCAAUGGGGUCUUGUAUUCACUGCUUCACUAUCUUACUUCCUCAGCCAGCAAUAUUUUCACUGGUCUUGGUAAUUGCUUGUGUAUCUCUUUUUCACCCUUGUUCCUUGCCUGUAUCAGUCACUGGAAAUUGCUUGUGUAUCUCGCCUCUCUAUCUUUAUCAGUCACUGGAAAGUCCUGGAUUUUGAUAUUAUUGUUCUUGGUAUCUUCUCUUGACUCAGCCUGCAAAGUCCAUGACUUCCCAGUUACUGAUAGAGAGGCAAGAGAGGCAGGAGACAACAAGAGACAAGGGUGAAUGAGAGCUACACAAACAAGUACCUGUCGACAGGUGAAGGUAUUGCAGGCUGUGGAAGCAAGAUAGUGCAAGAGCACAAGAGGCCAGUGGCAGUCUACCUCAUUCCAUCCAUCAUUACUAUAAAGCCUACACAUACAGGGCAGCAGUCCCUGUAUGAACAGGUCUACCUCAGGUGAUUCCACCUAUCAUUACUAUAAGGCAUACACAUACAUGGUAGCAGUCCUUGUAUGAAUAAGUCUACCUUAUUCCACCUAUCAUUACUAUGAGGCCUACACAUACAUGGCAGCAGUCCCUCCACCUAUCAUUACUAUGAGGCCUACACAUACAUGGCAGCAGUCCUUGUAUGAACAGGUCUACCUCAUU